GACGAACGCUGGCGGCGUGCCUAAUACAUGCAAGUAGAACGCUGAAACUUGGUGCUUGCACCGAGCGGAUGAGUUGCGAACGGGUGAGUAACGCGUAGGUAACCUGCCUGGUAGCGGGGGAUAACUAUUGGAAACGAUAGCUAAUACCGCAUAAGAGUAUAUGUUGCAUGACAUUUGCUUAAAAGGUGCAAUUGCACCACUACCAGAUGGACCUGCGUUGUAUUAGCUAGUUGGGGGGGUAACGGCUCACCAAAGCGACGAUACAUAGCCGACCUGAGAGGGUGGUCGGCCAACCUGGGACUGAGACACGGCCCAGACCCCUACGGGAGGCAGCAGGAGGGAAUCUUCGGCAAUGGACGGAAGGCUGACCGAGCAACGCCGCGUGAGGGAAGAAGGUUUUCGGAUCGUAAAGCUCUGUUGUAAGAGAAGAACGAGUGUGAGAGUGGAAAGUUCACACUGUGACGGUAUCUUACCAGAAAGGGACGGCUAACUACGUG
rnacentral:rRNA from 1 species